rnacentral:rRNA from 1 species
GAGUUUGAUCAUGGCUCAGAUUGAACGCUGGCGGCAGGCCUAACACAUGCAAGUCGGGCGGUAGAGAGAAGCUUGCUUCUCUUGAGAGCGGCGGACGGGUGAGUAAUGCCUAGGAAUCUGCCUGGUAGUGGGGGAUAACGCUCGGAAACGGACGCUAAUACCGCAUACGUCCUACGGGAGAAAGCAGGGGACCUUCGGGCCUUGCGCUAUCAGAUGAGCCUAGGUCGGAUUAGCUAGUUGGUGAGGUAAUGGCUCACCAAGGCGACGAUCCGUAACUGGUCUGAGAGGAUGAUCAGUCACACUGGAACUGAGACACGGUCCAGACUCCUACGGGAGGCAGCAGUGGGGAAUAUUGGACAAUGGGCGAAAGCCUGAUCCAGCCAUGCCGCGUGUGUGAAGAAGGUCUUCGGAUUGUAAAGCACUUUAAGUUGGGAGGAAGGGCAGUAAAUUAAUACUUUAGCUGUUUUGACGUUACCGACAGAAUAAGCACCGGCUAACUCUGUGCCAGCCGCCG